AGCCUUCAAUCCCCUCAUACAAAUCAUUGAUAGACAAUGUGAAGAGUUGUGGCCCCAGCCCUGUCAAACACA